CGCAGGUCGAUCUUGAUUGUUUCACAAUUUCAACUGCAUCCGUCAAGCUGCCAGAUACUACGGUUGGGCUGAUAACAAGUACAAAAGGUUUUGCUUGCUCCUACUGUUUCUUCGAAGUGAUUUAUUUGUGAGAUCGUCUGUAUUCCAGGGAUUUGGUUUAUCUUCGGCUUUGGGAAUCUGGUGAUUGAUUGAAAAGGUUGCAAGGU